UUAAAUUGAAGAGUUUGAUCAUGGCUCAGAUUGAACGCUGGCGGCAGGCCUAACACAUGCAAGUCGAACGGUAACAGGAAAAAGCUUGCUUUUUUGCUGACGAGUGGCGGACGGGUGAGUAAUGUCUGGGAAACUGCCUGAUGGAGGGGGAUAACUACUGGAAACGGUAGCUAAUACCGCAUAACGUCGCAAGACCAAAGAGGGGGACCUUCGGGCCUCUUGCCAUCGGAUGUGCCCAGAUGGGAUUAGCUAGUAGGUGGGGUAACGGCUCACCUAGGCGACGAUCCCUAGCUGGUCUGAGAGGAUGACCAGCCACACUGGAACUGAGACACGGUCCAGACUCCUACGGGAGGCAGCAGUGGGGAAUAUUGCACAAUGGGCGCAAGCCUGAUGCAGCCAUGCCGCGUGUAUGAAGAAGGCCUUCGGGUUGUAAAGUACUUUCAGCGGGGAGGAAGGGAGUAAAGUUAAUACCUUUGCUCAUUGACGUUACCCGCAGAAGAAGCACCGGCUAACUCCGUGCCAGCAGCCGCGGUAAUACGGAGGGUGCAAGCGUUAAUCGGAAUUACUGGGCGUAAAGCGCACGCAGGCGGUUUGUUAAGUCAGAUGUGAAAUCCCCGGGCUCAACCUGGGAACUGCAUCUGAUACUGGCAAGCUUGAGUCUCGUAGAGGGGGGUAGAAUUCCAGGUGUAGCGGUGAAAUGCGUAGAGAUCUGGAGGAAUACCGGUGGCGAAGGCGGCCCCCUGGACGAAGACUGACGCUCAGGUGCGAAAGCGUGGGGAGCAAACAGGAUUAGAUACCCUGGUAGUCCACGCCGUAAACGAUGUCGACUUGGAGGUUGUGCCCUUGAGGCGUGGCUUCCGGAGCUAACGCGUUAAGUCGACCGCCUGGGGAGUACGGCCGCAAGGUUAAAACUCAAAUGAAUUGACGGGGGCCCGCACAAGCGGUGGAGCAUGUGGUUUAAUUCGAUGCAACGCGAAGAACCUUACCUGGUCUUGACAUCCACGGAAGUUUUCAGAGAUGAGAAUGUGCCUUCGGGAACCGUGAGACAGGUGCUGCAUGGCUGUCGUCAGCUCGUGUUGUGAAAUGUUGGGUUAAGUCCCGCAACGAGCGCAACCCUUAUCCUUUGUUGCCAGCGGUCCGGCCGGGAACUCAAAGGAGACUGCCAGUGAUAAACUGGAGGAAGGUGGGGAUGACGUCAAGUCAUCAUGGCCCUUACGACCAGGGCUACACACGUGCUACAAUGGCGCAUACAAAGAGAAGCGACCUCGCGAGAGCAAGCGGACCUCAUAAAGUGCGUCGUAGUCCGGAUUGGAGUCUGCAACUCGACUCCAUGAAGUCGGAAUCGCUAGUAAUCGUGGAUCAGAAUGCCACGGUGAAUACGUUCCCGGGCCUUGUACACACCGCCCGUCACACCAUGGGAGUGGGUUGCAAAAGAAGUAGGUAGCUUAACCUUCGGGAGGGCGCUUACCACUUUGUGAUUCAUGACUGGGGUGAAGUCGUAACAAGGUAACCGUAGGGGAACCUGCGGUUGGAUCACCUCCUUACCUUAAAGAAGC
rnacentral:rRNA from 1 species